UAGAGUUGAUCCAUGGCUCAGAUUGAACGCUGGCGGCAGGCCUAACACAUGCAAGUCGAGCGGUAGAGAGGUGCUUGCACCUCUUGAGAGCGGCGGACGGGUGAGUAAUGCCUAGGAAUCUGCCUGGUAGUGGGGGAUAACGCUCGGAAACGGACGCUAAUACCGCAUACGUCCUACGGGAGAAAGCAGGGGACCUUCGGGCCUUGCGCUAUCAGAUGAGCCUAGGUCGGAUUAGCUAGUUGGUGAGGUAAUGGCUCACCAAGGCGACGAUCCGUAACUGGUCUGAGAGGAUGAUCAGUCACACUGGAACUGAGACACGGUCCAGACUCCUACGGGAGGCAGCAGUGGGGAAUAUUGGACAAUGGGCGAAAGCCUGAUCCAGCCAUGCCGCGUGUGUGAAGAAGGUCUUCGGAUUGUAAAGCACUUUAAGUUGGGAGGAAGGGCAGUAACCUAAUACGUUGCUGUCCUUGACGUUACCGACAGAAUAAGCACCGGCUAA
rnacentral:rRNA from 1 species